rnacentral:rRNA from 1 species
ACUCCUACGGGAGGCAGCAGUGGGGAAUAUUGCGCAAUGGGGGAAACCCUGACGCAGCGACGCCGCGUGAGCGAAGAAGGCCUUAGGGUUGUAAAGCUCUGUUUUAGGGGACGAAUGUUACGGGGAGUAAUAUGCCCUGUAAAUGACGGUACCCUAAGAGGAAGCCCCGGCUAACUACGUGCCAGCAGCCGCGGUAAGACGUAGGGGGCGAGCGUUGUCCGGAAUUACUGGGCGUAAAGAGCACGUAGGCGGGAACUUAAGUCAGGUGUGAAAGACCGAGGCUCAACCUCGGGUAUGCACUUGAAACUGGGUUUCUUGAGGGCAGGAGAGGAAAGCAGAAUUCCUGGUGUAGCGGUGAAAUGCGUAGAAAUCAGGAGGAAUACCAGUGGCGAAGGCGGCUUUCUGGACUGACCCUGACGCUGAGGUGCGAAAGCGUGGGUAGCAAACAGGAUUAGAUACCCUGGUAGUC